GGAUGUGAGGGCGAUCUGGUUGUGACAUCUGUCACCCCAUUGAUCGCCAGGGUUGAUUCGGCUGAUCUGGCUGGCUAGGCGGGUGUCCCCUUCCCCCCCCCCCACUGCUCCACAUGCGUCCCUCCUGAAGCUGCGCACUCACAGAGGACGGCCAUCCCCAAUAGAGGAGGACCGGUCUUCGGUCAAGGGUAUACAAGUAGUUGCGCUCCCCUGCUAGAACCUCCAAACAAGCUCUCAA
rnacentral:lncRNA from 1 species